rnacentral:rRNA from 1 species
GACGUAGGGCGCGAGCGUUGUCCGGAUUUAUUGGGCGUAAAGAGCUCGUAGGCGGUUCGUCACGUCGGCUGUGAAAUCCCGAGGCUCAACCUCGGGUCUGCAGUCGAUACGGGCGGACUGGAGUACUGCAGGGGGAGACUGGAAUUCCUGGUGUAGCGGUGAAAUGCGCAGAUAUCAGGAGGAACACCGGUGGCGAAGGCGGGUCUCUGGGCAGUAACUGACGCUGAGGAGCGAAAGCGUGGGGGAGCGAACAGG